CGUAGGUGCGAGCGUUAAUCGGAAUUACUGGGCGUAAGCGUGCGCAGGCGGUUUGUUAAGACAGGCGUGAAAUCCCCGAGCUCAACUUGGGAAUGGCGCUUGUGACUGCAAGGCUAGAGUAUGUCAGAGGGGUAGGAAUUCCACGUGUAGCAGUGAAAUGCGUAGAGAUGUGGAGGAAUACCGAUGGCGAAGGCAGCCCCCUGGGACGUCACUGACGCUCAUGCACGAAAGCGUGGGAGCAAACAGGAUU
rnacentral:rRNA from 1 species